AUUGCCCCAGUAACGGCGAGUGAAGCGGCAACAGCUCAAAUUUGAAAUCUGGUCCCUAGGGCCCGAGUUGUAAUUUGUAGAGGAUGCUUUUGGUGAGGUGCCGCCCGAGUUCCCUGGAACGGGACGCCACAGAGGGUGAGAGCCCCGUCUGGCUGGCCGCCGAGCCUCUGUAAAGCUCCUUCGACGAGUCGAGUAGUUUGGGAAUGCUGCUCAAAAUGGGAGGUAUAUGUCUUCUAAAGCUAAAUAUUGGCCAGAGACCGAUAGCGCACAAGUAGAGUGAUCGAAAGAUGAAAAGCACCUUGAAAAGAGGGUUAAAUAGUACGUGAAAUUGUUGAAAGGGAAGCGCUUGUGACCAGACUUGGGCGCGGCGGAUCAUCCGGGGUUCUCUCCGGUGCACUUCGCCGCGUCUAGGCCAGCAUCAGUUCGUCGCGGGGGAAAAAGGCUUCGGGAACGUGGCUCCUCCGGGAGUGUUAUAGCCCGUUGCAUAAUACCCUGCGGUGGACUGAGGACCGCGCAUCUGCAAGGAUGCUGGCGUAAUGGUCACCAGCGACCCGUCUUGAAACACGGACCAAGGAGUCGUCUUCGUAUGCGAGUGUUCGGGUGUCAAACCCCUACGCGUAAUGAAAGUGAACGCAGGUGAGAGCUUCGGCGCAUCAUCGACCGAUCCUGAUGUUCUCGGAUGGAUUUGAGUAAGAGCAUACGGGGCCGGACCCGAAAGAAGGUGAACUAUGCCUGUAUAGGGUGAAGCCAGAGGAAACUCUGGUGGAGGCUCGCAGCGGUUCUGACGUGCAAAUCGAUCGUCAAAUAUGGGCAUGGGGGCGAAAGACUAAUCGAACCUUCUAGUAGCUGGUUUCCGCCGA
rnacentral:rRNA from 1 species